rnacentral:rRNA from 1 species
UACGAAGGGGGCUAGCGUUGCUCGGAAUCAUUGGGCGUAAAGCGCACGUAGGCAGUUCGUUAUGUCGGAUGUGAAAGCCCUUGGCUUAACCGAGGAAGUGCAUCCGAAACUGGCGAGCUAGAGUACUAAAGAGGAUCGCGGAAUUCCCGGUGUAGAGGUGAAAUGCGUAGAUAUCGGAAGGAACACCUGUGGCGAAAGCGGCUCACUGGACCAUAACUGACGCUGAUGCACGAAAGCCGGAGGACAAACAGG